rnacentral:lncRNA from 1 species
AUCUGGUUGUGAUUGUUGAGUCAGGGUUUGGCAAAGAUGAUUACAAGAAGACGCCGCGGAAAGAGAAGGGGAAGCUGCAGAGUAACCUCCGUGAGGAGCAGCAGAGGUGGAGAAGGUGAGCUGAGGAACUUGGCUGCUGAUUCCGAGCAGAGUUGGGGAAAGAGUUCCCGCUCCAUCAAAGAGUCAUUUGUCUAAGUCCGGUGUCUAAGAAGUGGUAUUCCCAGAAAACAUUCUCCUUUCUCUCUGGACAUGUAUCUUCCAAGGAAACAUCUCUUUAACCUGUGUCGUUGCCUUCUGGUUGGAGCAGCUUUGGAGAUGUCCUAAGGGCCAUCAGCCUAACAAGCA